AUGGCGUCGUCGCUGGACGCGCCCAACCUCGACGAUUACCUCACCGCGGACUCGCUCCCGCAGGAACCCCCCAGGAGUCUCACCCUGCGCGAUCUGCUGGACAUCUCGCCGGUGCUCACCGAGGCCGCGGGCGCCAUCGUCGAUGAUUCAUUCACACGUUGCUUUAAGUCAAAUUCUCCGGAGCCAUGGAACUGGAACAUCUAUUUGUUCCCAUUAUGGUGCUUGGGAGUAGUCAUAAGAUAUGGACUACUGUUUCCGCUAAGGUUCUUAACACUUAUACUAGGAUGGAUGGCCUUCUUUACUGCCUUUUUUCCCGUGCGUUUCCUAAUGAACGGGAAAAAUAGGCUAAAAAGUAAAAUAGAGAGAAAGCUGGUUGAAAUGAUGUGCAGUGUUUUUGUUGCUUCUUGGACUGGAGUGAUCAAGUACCAUGGACCACGCCCAAGCUCACGACCUUAUCAGGUAUUUGUUGCAAACCAUACAUCGAUGAUAGAUUUUAUUAUUCUGGAGCAGAUGACAGCAUUUGCUGUCAUCAUGCAAAAGCAUCCUGGAUGGGUUGGAUUUAUUCAGAAGACUAUUCUGGAAAGUGUGGGUUGCAUCUGGUUUAACCGUAAUGAUCUCAAGGAUCGUGAAGUAGUUGGAAGAAAGUUACGUGAUCAUGUUCAGCAUCCAGACAACAACCCUCUCUUGAUUUUCCCGGAAGGAACUUGUGUUAAUAAUCAGUACACUGUGAUGUUCAAGAAGGGUGCUUUUGAGCUUGGCUGUGCUGUAUGUCCAAUAGCUAUCAAAUAUAAUAAAAUAUUUGUUGACGCCUUCUGGAAUAGUAAGAAGCAAUCUUUUACAAUGCAUUUGGUUCGUCUUAUGACAUCAUGGGCUGUUGUUUGUGAUGUUUGGUUCUUGGAACCUCAGUAUCUCAGGGAAGGGGAGACAGCGAUAGAAUUUACUGAAAGAGUGAGGGACAUGAUAGCUGCUCGGGCUGGUCUUAAGAAGGUUCCAUGGGAUGGCUAUCUGAAACAUAACCGCCCUAGUCCAAAACAUACUGAGGAAAAGCAGCGCAUGUUUGCUGAAUCUGUGUUGAGGAGACUAGAGGAAAACUAA
rnacentral:rRNA from 1 species